ACCCAUCGUGUCAGGUGACGGACGGGUUCGACAGGCAUGGGUGCGAACAAAAAGCGGAAGGUUCAAGCGAGCGACAGCGAAACUAGCAGUGAUGGAGAUUCAAGAAGGUAACUCUGAGCCGGAUAGCACUCCCGGGACAGGGUUACGGGCCGGGGAAUGUUCUGGCCACACUGGUUAUGUUUCAGCCGCGUCGCUGCAUGCUUGAAUACCAAGAAAUGUCAGUGGGUUAAGGCGUAGAAAUGACAGAAAGAAAAGUGUUGGAGCAUAGAAGCAUAGAAAAAUUGUAAACAAACAGAUACUGUAAAAGCAGGAAGGUAAAAAAAGAUUCUGGCGUGGUUAAAGAUAGAAUUUACGGUAGAUUAGUAGAAAAUUUGAUAGUAAAAGUGAAGUUCGGAAAGAUAGAUCAGUUGGAAGUGAAAGAUAGUGUUGCAUCGUUGGUAAUAAUUCAGGCAGUUUAAGGUUGGGGAAAUCGCAUGCAAGGAAAAACUAGAUUUGUAAGCUAAAUUUAUUUGUUACAAUUCACCGAUUAAAUAAAACUAAUUCUAGUUGAAGCUGUUUAAAGUGAAACUGCUGUUCGAAA